rnacentral:lncRNA from 1 species
AAAGCGCAGGUCCCCGCCUCGGCAGCCACGGGACACCUGCAUCUGCCAACAAGACUGGAAGCAGAAAGGGACAGAGACGGCGAAGUUUGACGGUCUGGAAAGCAGAGACCAGCAGGGCUGACUGCUUGGGAGCACGAGGGACAGCUCUCCACCGACCGAAGGAGGAGAAUGCUAUUUAUUUCAGCACCAAAUAUCCGGACAGCGCCUCUCGGGAGGUCCGAGAAGAGAACCGCGAUCUGUUUCAGCACCGGGGCUCAGGACAGUUCCCAGCGGGCUCCGUUUCGUCUCCAGAACCCUGGACAGCUCCUCCAGCUUGGAAUGCACUCCCUCCACCUCCAACCAGAGCUCCCCACAACUGACCCUGCCUUCUUCUGCAAGCUCCAUUUCAUCAAGGGAAACGAUCCUUAUUGCCUCACCAUUUCCCACGUGAAGUCUGUAUUGACAUUCUCAUAGACCUGGGAUAUUGUGUCUGCAGCACAUAGUCCAAUUAUUUUCAUGUUAUCUACUGACAGGUCUAUUUGUCUCCCUGUUACACUGUGAGCUCCGUGAGGGCAGAAACAAUGUUAGUAUUUUCACUGCUGUGUCCCCAGCGCCUGGUCCGGGGCCCGGCACACAGCAGGCAUAUAAUAAGCAUGUGUUGAAUCAAUAAAGGCAUCAAAGAAUA